CCCCCCCCCCACCCACAGGCCCGGCCCGCACCCGCGACCAUCCCCUCCAGCGCCCUGACCUCCCGCUUUUUUCCCCCACGUAGCUCUUCCUUCUCCAUCUUCCUCCGGGUCAGGGAGGGGGUCGGGGCGGUGCCAGGGGGGGAGGGCGGCCAGGCCUCCGGAGGCGUAGGGUCAGGGGGGAGGUCCCACAGGGGGCCUGCGGCCCAGACAACCAGGGGACCAUCGGUGGCGGCGACUCUGGACUCGAGCAGGGCCCUUCCCGUGGAUCGCCCCAGCUGCAGCAGCGGGUGGUGCAACCGCCCUCAGGUAGCCCUGCGGGUGGGCAUGUAGCGCCCAGGUUUCCAGCCACAGCCACCCGCGCUGGUCUUUCCCUGCGGGCCCACCCCGGGGUCCGCGGUUCCCCGUGGUGCCUUGCUUCGGCCAGGGCCUAGCAGCUGAUUUUAGAACUGGUGCAGACAGGGGAAUCCAAAUGUUUAAUUCAAAAAAGGCAUCGUGAAGGCCCGCGGCGGGUGUUGAUGCGAUGUGAUUUCUGCCAAGUGCUCUGAAUGUCAAAGUGAAGAAAUUCAAUGAAGCGCAGGUAAACGGUGGGAGUAACUAUGACUCUCUUAAAGUAGCCAAAGGCCUCCUCAUCUAAUUAGUGACACGCAUGAAUGAAUGACUGAGAUUCCCACUGUCCCUACAUACUAUCCAGCGAAACCACAACCAAGGGAAUGGGCUUGGCAGAAUCAGUGGGGAAAGAAGACCCUGUUGACCUUGAAUCUACUCUGGCACGGUGAACAGACAUGAGAGGUGUAGAAUAAGUGGGAGGCCCCUGGCGCCCCUUCCCUGAGAGCCGGGGUGGACCAGACAGGACAAUUCAGUCUUAGUCUCUGGCUGUCGAUUAGAGUGACAUGCAGUGUGACUAUUUUUUUAUUUAAGUAUUUUAUUUAUUUAUUUUAUUUUAUUAUUUUAAUUUAUUAUUUUAUUUCAUUUUAUUUUAUUUAUUUAAUUUUUUAUUUUAUUGUAGUUAUAUUUUUAUUUUAUUUAUUUUCUUAUUUUAUUUAUUUAAUUUAUUUAUUUUAUUUAUUUUAUAUUAUUUAUUUAUUUAUUUAAUCUAUUUUAUUUUAUUUUAUUUAUUCUAUUUUAUUUUAUUUUAUUUAU
rnacentral:ncRNA from 1 species